UGUUGUUGUUGGCUUGGUUGUUGAUAUUGUGGCCGAGUUGUAAUCUCGGGGUUGUCAUAUAUAUAGGGGAGAUGCUGCCGAAAUUUUUGUAGACAAGUAUUGGAAAAAUUGAAUUCUUAAAGUCUUAUGAAUAGUAAUUGGUAAAUGUGACCAAUUGUAGAUUUUGGAGGAAACGGGAAUUGAACUUGGACAACCGUAAAAGGCCAAAAAGGUACCGAAGUUCGAUUUGCUGAUCCACCUGUUUAGGAUAUUUGUUGCGUCGUUGACAGUGCUCCCUUGUUCGGAGCUUGUAUUUUGGUACUGACUUUAUCUCUGUAUAUUUGGAUAUUUUGGUCAGGGGUACGACGGGGCCCUGUCCCGUCAUAUGACUAUGCUAUCAUCUGUAGAGGUCUGUAGACAGAGUUAUGUUGUGGGUUUUGUAUAUAUGGUUUGGAUUUUUGUGUGUUUUGUGACAACCUUUCAACUCUCGUGCGUAUAUCUACUUUUAUGAUAUAUUUAGCAAUUUCUACUAA